CAUGUGAUCUGCUCUCUCCCUUUUGAUCUCCAUCCACUCAGAACAGUUAGAUCAGUUCCGAUUAAAGUUCAUUGUUGAUCUCUUUUUUCCUCUUCCAGUACAUGGCUGUCUAUUCGAUUAAAGCAUGGAAAGGAUGUGAUCUGUUGCUUCUUCCAAAUUCUUACUCAAUGGGUUGACCUUUAGAUCAACCUCUCUCUCUCUUGGCCUGGUGUUCCAUGGACUGAAGACGAACAUAGGAUGUUUUUACUUGGACUACAGAAGCUUGGCAAAGGUGAUUGGCGUGGAAUAGCUCGCAAUUAUGUUAUAUCAAGGACACCUACUCAAGUGGCCAGCCAUGCUCAAAAAUAUUUCAUCAGGCAAACCAAUGUAUCUCGGAGAAAGAGACGUUCCA